rnacentral:rRNA from 1 species
UAAGGAAUAUUGGACAAUGGACGCAAGUCUGAUCCAGCCAUGCCGCGUGAAGGAUUAAGGCCCUCUGGGUUGUAAACUUCUUUUAUAGGGGACGAAAAAAGGGCUUUCUAGCUCGUCUGACGGUACCCUAUGAAUAAGCACCGGCUAACUCCGUGCCAGCAGCCGCGGUAAUACGGAGGGUGCAAGCGUUAUCCGGAUUCACUGGGUUUAAAGGGUGCGUAGGCGGGCAGUUAAGUCAGUGGUGAAAUCUUCGAGCUCAACUCGGAAACUGCCAUUGAUACUAUCUGUCUUGAAUACUGUGGAGGUGAGCGGAAUAUGUCAUGUAGCGGUGAAAUGCUUAGAUAUGACAUAGAACACCGAUUGCGAAGGCAGCUCGCUACACAAAUAUUGACGCUGAGGC